rnacentral:lncRNA from 1 species
CCAUCAAAUGCAAUGAGUGUAGCUUUUUCAAUAUCAUGGCUCGCCGUGAUUUUUCCAAACUCACCAAAAUCCAAACAUACACUAAAUCUAAACAAAGACAACAAAAAAAAAGUUAUUUUCUUAACUAAAACAAAAAUUAUUUGACAUUAAAAAAUUACAAUCGGUAAGAUGGGAUCAGAUAGUCGAUCUUUCACCAAAUAUGAAAUUCACAGUAAGACUGGACGUCACAUUUAAAGAUUUUAUCCUCAUAUCCCAAUGAAUCAAUUAAAACAAAAAUAAACAAACACAAGCAAAAUUUAAUUAAUUUGAGUAUAAUGAAAUUGAAACUAAAAAUUAUAAAACUAUAAUUAGAGGAUCAGAUAAAAAGUCAGUCACCAUGUUACACUUGAUAGUGCAAAUUAAGACUGGGGCGACAAUUACUAUCAUCAUAUCCUCCUCAUAAUAAUCAUGAAUUUAUAAAGUCAUAUCAUAGAAUGUAUUUGAUAAUAAUUUGAUAUAAUAGAGCUUGAAAUUAACUUACAGAAAAUGAGAUUGGAAUUGGAGAAAGUGAUGAUGGAGAAAUUCUUACAUUGAUUUGAGAUUGGAAUGAAUUAUUUGCUGGUAGAAACAAUUGGUGCAAUUAGGGUUUGUGUUUGGG